UUGCCUCUUGGACUGGGACAACUGUUGGAAACGACAGCUAAUACCGGAUAUUAUGAGAUUCUCGCAUGAGAAACUUAUGAAAGCUAUAUGCGCCAAGAGAGAGCCUUGCGUUCCAUUAGCUAGUUGGUGGGGUAACGGCCCACCAAGGCGACGAUGGAUAGCCGGCCUGAGAGGGUGAACGGCCACAAGGGGACUGAGACACGGCCCUUACUCCUACGGGAGGCAGCAGUGGGGAAUAUUGGACAAUGGGCCACAAGCCUGAUCCAGCAAUUCUGUGUGCACGAUGAAGGUCUUCGGAUUGUAAAGUGCUUUCAGUUGGGAAGAAGAAAGUGACGGUACCAACAGAAGAAGCGACGGCUAAAUACGUGCCAGCAGCCGCGGUAAUACGUAUGUCGCAAGCGUUAUCCGGAUUUAUUGGGCGUAAAGCGCGUCUAGGCGGAAAAAUAAGUCUGAUGUUAAAAUGCGGGGCUCAACUCCGUAUUGCGUUGGAAACUGUUUUUCUAGAGUACUGGAGAGGUGGGCAGAACUACAAGUGUAGAGGUGAAAUUCGUAGAUAUUUGUAGGAAUGCCGAUGGAGAA
rnacentral:rRNA from 1 species